CUGAAGCUCACAGGGAAAGUGAAGAAAGUCUCUGCAAUAAAGGCAACUGGACCACUGUGGUUGGGCCCGGGUGCUGUGCAAGCAGACCCUGUCCUGCAUCUGGGUCGGGACCUCUCCCUUCCGACUUUGGCCCCAGCCCCACACUGUGGGAGAGCUCUGAGGCCGAAGCCGUGCCACCUUCUCCUCUACAGGAAAGGCUGAGGUAUAAUCUUUACUUUGCAUUAAUCCAGUUUUCCGGAUCCAUUCCCUUCUUUGUGUAAAAUAAUGUGCCUGCUCUAUUUUUGUGUAUAAUGCAGAGUAGAGAGGGGAGAAAGAGGUGAGAAGAAGAAAACAGGUAGUGGAGGAAGAAGAGAAGGAAG
rnacentral:lncRNA from 1 species